rnacentral:rRNA from 1 species
GUGUCAGCCGCCGCGGUAAUACGAAGGGGGCUAGCGUUGUUCGGAAUCACUGGGCGUAAAGGGCGCGUAGGCGGCCAAAUAAGUCGGGGGUGAAAGCCUGUGGCUCAACCACAGAAUUGCCUUCGAUACUGUAUGGCUCGAGACCGGAAGAGGUUGGUGGAACUGCGAGUGUAGAGGUGAAAUUCGUAGAUAUUCGCAAGAACACCAGUGGCGAAGGCGGCCAACUGGUCCGGUUCUGACGCUGAGGCGCGAAAGCGUGGGGAGCAAACAGGAUUAGAAACCCUAGUAGUCC